GGAGCUUUCCUACGCUCGCCUUAACUACAAGAAGCGCAGGCUGUGGGCAGACAGGGGCCCGGGGCUUCAGGACCUCGUGCGAGUCCGGGUCAACGCCUCUCUGCGCCCGGAGAGCCCGUACCAGUGCCCGCGGCCCGAAGCGCGCCCAGACCCCUGCAACAAGGAGACGGUCCUGCAGGCCCUAGCCCAGAGCACGAAAGGAAAGAGAAAGUUCGACGGGCCGCUCUGGUUCGAGGUCCUGGAGCCCAAGACAAGGAGGCCAGACCCAGAGCCCAGGCCAUCUGCCUUCCGGCCGGUAACCACAGAUGGAGUGACCCGGUGCUUCGUGCCCAGGCCCAGGAGACAUGCCAUCACCAGGUCACUUCCCUCCACUUCCGGUGACAGGUCUGCCCCUCCAGAACACUUCUGACUUAUCCUGUGGUGCCACGCUGAGGAGACUGCUGAUUUCAAGACAUGACUUUAUUGCUACCUUUCUUAUGUGUUCUAAUAUACUUAUAUAAAUGUUUUUUUAAAAAGUAUUUCAGUACUAAUGAUAAUAGAUCUUUCUAGUCCUCAUUUUGGCUGUUAUCCACAGGUUGUGUCUUUUUUUAGGUUUUGAUAGUGUAAUUAUAUUUGAAGUCACACACACAACAAGAACAACAACAACAACAACAGCACCAGCAGCAACAAAAAUAACAGAAAUAGCAGUAACAGUACGAGAACUGAAACAAUUCACAGGUCCAAUCAGUUCAGUUUCCAUAACCAAAGGAAUUGACAAGAUCGGGCUGCAGAAUGCCUUCAUUACCGGAGCCAAAGGAGUCAGAGAAGCCAACAGCAGAGUUCAAACUUGGUCAAACAGAAUAAAGGUCUUAAAGAUUAAACUGCACACGCCCAGCUCCUGCUCCCGGUUACCCUGGCCAGAGCUUCCUUCUGAGAGGGAGGCUGUAACAGAUAAAAAGUCACAGGCAAAGGAAGGCCAUCAUCAGUGAGUGAUGAGAUCAUGCACUGAUUUCUCGACAUCUGUCCUGGAGAAUUAGUCUGGGGUUCUUCUGGGAGGAGCCUUGUGCAAUGCACACAGAAUAAGACCGCCAAGAGGCUAGCUUGAAUGUGCAGAAGUCAGAACAUGCUGGUUCUAUGAAAUCGAACUGACUGAGCACCAGGAACACUUACUUCCUGCUGGCUUGAUUGAAAACAAGAAAAUUAGUUGCAUAUUUAAGAUAUUCAUUCUUUUCAUGUCAGCUGACCCAGGAAGUAAUUACCUAUGAACAUGAAUAUAUCUCCACUAGAAAAAGAACUCUGAGGGUAGGACUCAUUCAUUUUAUUGUUUCUGUGCAAGAUGAGGCAUACAAAGUACCUGCACAAAAGAAUUGCUUGUUCCAUGAACAUACCAAUAAAUGAAUGAAUGGCUCUCAUCCAAUUGUUUCUAGUGAGUUCAAGAUAAAACAAUUUGCAAAGUGGGACCAUUUAAACAUUAUCAGACCAAAAGGACAAUGUGUUUGGAAGGCAUUAACAUGUAUUUGCAUGUAAUCUCUGGAAGAACAUAUGGACACCAACUGUACUGACAGCAUUCCAUACCCUUUCCUUGAGUUUUGUCCAGGUAGACUGUUAUUAUUUUUCACAGAAUUCAUUGUACCUAAUUCCUAGGAAUGGCUGCAAGUUCUGAGUAGCAACAACUUUGCUUCCACCCUGGGCCUUUGAAGAACAUGAAGAGAAAACUCUUUUGUCUGUUUAUCACAACAUGUUUUUUCUGGUUGAUUCCAGAGCAUGUAGGUGACCAAAAAGGAGCUGCCAGCACAGGAAACUGCAAUUUCCAAGAAGGACGACAACUGAGAAAUACCUGCAGCCCCUUACCAUUCCCAAGUGCGCUUGGCUUGCACAGAUAAAUGUAUGUGUAAGUAAUUUUUAGCUCAACUGGUAAUUUCUUUACCCAUCACUGGUCUCGACAAUGUACUUAAGCCAUGGUUUACAGCCAUCAACAAGAAAUUGACACAGGGUUUGUUGCCUGGGGCACAAGGCUUCUACCAUUUGGCAAGGGCCCAUUCCAGUAUUGACUAUGCCAUUUGCCAAGAAAAGGUUACACAUGAACUUGGCAGCUGCACAAAGCAGACAAGCCUUACGAAAGACAGUUCCAGGACACACGGAUCAGAGAGCCGAGGAAAUCCCUUGACACUGGAGUCUUCCGUAAUAGCUACUUUUGUGUAGAUAGUGUCUUCUUUAAAAAAUUAAGUCUAAGGGGAUAAAAGGU
rnacentral:lncRNA from 1 species